rnacentral:rRNA from 1 species
GAGGAAAAGAAACCAACAGGGAUUGCCUUAGUAGCGGCGAGUGAAGCGGCAAAAGCUCAAAUUUGAAAUCUGGCGCCUUCGGUGUCCGAGUUGUAAUUUGAAGAUUGUAACCUUGGGGUUGGCUCUUGUCUAUGUUUCUUGGAACAGGACGUCACAGAGGGUGAGAAUCCCGUGCGAUGAGAUGCCCAAUUCUAUGUAAGGUGCUUUCGAAGAGUCGAGUUGUUUGGGAAUGCAGCUCUAAGUGGGUGGUAAAUUCCAUCUAAAGCUAAAUAUUGGCGAGAGACCGAUAGCGAACAAGUACAGUGAUGGAAAGAUGAAAAGAACUUUGAAAAGAGAGUGAAAAAGUACGUGAAAUUGUUGAAAGGGAAGGGUUUGAGAUCAGACUCGAUAUUUUGUGAGCCUUGCCUUCGUGGCGGGGUGACCCGCAGCUUAUCGGGCCAGCAUCGGUUUGGGCGGUAGGAUAAUGGCGUAGGAAUGUGACUUUACUUCGGUGAAGUGUUAUAGCCUGCGUUGAUGCUGCCUGCCUAGACCGAGGACUGCGAUUUUAUCAAGGAUGCUGGCAUAAUGAUCCCAAACCGCCCGUU